GCUUAACACAUGCAAGUCGAGCGGUAACAGACAUUUUGAUUUUGCUUGCAAAAUCUCGUGCUGACGAGCGGCGAACGGGUGAGUAACGCGUAGGAAUCUACCUAGUAGAAGGGGAUAGCCCGAGGAAACUCGGAUUAAUACCGUAUACGUCCUUAGGGAGAAAGAGGGCUUAGCUUUGAUGCUCUCGCUAUUAGAUGAGCCUGCGUAAGAUUAGCUUGUUGGUGAGGUAAAGGCUCACCAAGGCGACGAUCUUUAGCUGGUCUGAGAGGACGAUCAGCCACAUUGGGACUGAGACACGGCCCAGACUCCUACGGGAGGCAGCAGUGGGGAAUAUUGGACAAUGGGCGCAAGCCUGAUCCAGCCAUACCGCGUGUGUGAAGAAGGCCUUCGGGUUGUAAAGCACUUUAAGUAAGGAAGAAAAGAGUAUUGUUAAUACCAUUACUCCGUGACAUUACUUACAGAAUAAGGACCGG
rnacentral:rRNA from 1 species